UACGGAGGGUGCAAGCGUUAUCCGGAUUCACUGGGUUUAAAGGGUGCGUAGGCGGGCUUGUAAGUCAGUGGUGAAAGCCCGGAGCUUAACUCCGGAAUUGCCGUUGAUACUGCAAGUCUUGAGUACAGUUGAGGUGGGCGGAAUACAUCAUGUAGUAGUGAAAUAUUUAGAUAUGAUGUAGAACACCGAUUGCGAAGGCAGCUCACUAAAAGUGUAACUGACGCUGAGGCACGAAAGCGUGGGGAUCAAAACAGG
rnacentral:rRNA from 1 species